rnacentral:rRNA from 1 species
UUGACCUCAAAUCAGGUAGGACUACCCGCUGAACUUAAGCAUAUCAAUAAGCGGAGGAAAAGAAACUAACAAGGAUUCCCCUAGUAACUGCGAGUGAAGCGGGAAAAGCUCAAAUUUGAAAUCUGGCAGCUCUYUGAACUGUCCGAGUUGUAAUCUAGAGAAGUGUUACCUGUGCUGGACCGUGUACAAGUCUCCUGGAAUGGAGCGUCACAGAGGGUGAGAAUCCCGUCUUUGACACGGACUGCCUGCACGUUAUGGUGCGCUCUCAAAGAGUCGAGUUGUUUGGGAAUGCAGCUCAAAAUGGGUGGUAAAUGCCAUCUAAAGCUAAAUAUUGGCGAGAGACCGAUAGCGAACAAGUACCGUGAGGGAAAGAUGAAAAGAACUUUGGAAAGAGAGUUAAACAGUACGUGAAAUUGCUGAAAGGGAAACGCUUGAAGUCAGUCGCGUUGGCUAGAAAUCAACCUUGCUUUUGCUUGGUGUACUUUCUUGUUGACGGGUCAGCAUCAAUUUUGACCGUUGGAUAAAGUCUUUGGGAAUGUGGCAUCUCAGGAUGUGUUAUAGCCCAUUGUCGCAUACAGCGGUUGGGAUUGAGGAACUCAGCACGCCCGCAAGGGACGGGUUUUUUGACCACGUUCGUGCUUAGGAUGCUGGCAUAAUGGCUUUAAUCGACCCGUC